ACGAGUAUACAUGACUGAUACACGAUUCCAUAAAAAAAUGUGUGCAGCUCUGAUUAACUCUCAUAACUUUGCUUCUGUAAAAAAAUAUUGUCACUAAUUUUUUUAACUGUACACAAACCCCUCCAUGUACAGUACUUGUCGGUACUUUUGCAAAGAGGGAUAAAAUUUUAAAAGAGAGAUAAAAAAUACCAAAGAAACAAUCAAACUCAAAGGUAGAAAACAAACCGACACAGCCAAAGCGAAAAAUAGAAGCUGACGAGAAGACAAACAGUAGUACACAUUACACAACAUAGGAAACUAAAAACUUAGCAACACGAAACCCAAUAAAACCUGGAAUGAUCUCAGGUGUUUCGGAAAGGAAAUUUAAGUAGAUCCUGCAUUUUGGCCC
rnacentral:lncRNA from 1 species